CUUCUUUUUUCGCCGACGCCGUUCAUCCCUCAGGAACCCUACCGGCUGGAGCUGGACUCUGGCACACACCAUCAGUUGCAUCCUUCCAGUCCUCUCCGUAAACCCAUCCUCCCCAAAAGGAUCUUUAAGAUGCUGGAAAAAAGAUUGAGGAGAAUUGGCAUCAUAUCUUACCUAAAUUUGCGGUGGAAUUCAACAGUGGAAACAUCUGAG